GACGAACGCUGGCGGCGUGCUUAACACAUGCAAGUCGAACGAAGAGCGACGGAAGCUUGCUUCUAUCAAUCUUAGUGGCGAACGGGUGAGUAACGCGUAAUCAACCUGCCCUUCAGAGGGGGACAACAGUUGGAAACGACUGCUAAUACCGCAUACGAUCUAAUCUCGGCAUCGAGGAUGGAUGAAAGGUGGCCUCUACAUGUAAGCUAUCACUGAAGGAGGGGAUUGCGUCUGAUUCGCAAGUUGGAGGGGUAACGGCCCACCAAGGCGAUGAUCAGUAGCCGGUCUGAGAGGAUGAACGGCCACGUUGGGACUGAGACACGGCCCAGACUCCUACGGGAGGCAGCAGUGGGGAAUCUUCCGCAAUGGACGAAAGUCUGACGGAGCAACGCCGCGUGAGUGAUGACGGCCUUCGGGUUGUAAAGCUCUGUUAAUCGGGACGAAAGGCCUUCUUGCGAAUAGUGAGAAGGAUUGACGGUACCGGAAUAGAAAGCCACGGCUAACUACGUG
rnacentral:rRNA from 1 species